rnacentral:lncRNA from 1 species
CCCAGAGUGAAAGACAGAGGAACCAAUCGAGGCUCGGCUGACCUCAGACGUCUAAGGCGAUAGGCGUUGCUAAGAAAAGGGGGUGGGACGAUACCCAGUUGCCAAGACGACGGCUUCCGGGUGGGCGGCUUGAGGUGGCUUCCGGCCGCCAGGCGAGACUCCGCGGGAAAACUCCCUGCUAGAGAGACUAGGAGAUUUGGGGCUGCGGCCGUUUCCUCCGGAGCACCCACGGGACUGUGUGCUGGGGUCCCUCCACCGGCUGUGUCCUUUAUUCUUCUUUCUCACCCAACGAUUUACCUGAACGGUUAUAAAGUGCACGUUAUUUCCCUAAGCACUUUGAGUAUAUUGGCCCACUGCAUUCUGGACUUCAAAAUUUCUGAUGCGAAAUAUGCUGAUACUUUUGUUGAAGAAAUCUGGUCCUUCUUACUGAUGUGUUGCUCUUCUUCAUGGCUCGUGAAAACUAUUAGAGUCAUCCAAGCUUCUAGCAGAGAUGGAAUAAUAGAGACCAGAUGUACCCUCCCAGCUGAAACAACAAAAAAAUACAGAACAAAAUAUAUAAAAGAAUGGUUUUCAAGGUACUAGACAUCACACAGUGAAGGACAGUGAUCCCAGAGAGAUGAGAAACAAACAAG